CUGCUGGCUGCAGCCGGAGCGUGGCCUCUCCAGGCCUCCAGCCUCGCUGCCAGGAGGUCCCUGGCCCACACAGGCUCUCCCCGAGGGUCCUGCAGCUGGCAAGCCACUUGCAGACCGAAAACACGUGGCCACAGCUGUGAGUGAAAAUGAACCUGAGCAACACAGUGCCACUCUCGGAGGUGCGAGCUGAAGGAGGUAUUGUGAGACGCUGCAGCCAAAACUCCAUCUUGAUAACAUUUUUAUAGGGGUGAAACUACAAAGAGUAACUCAGCAGUUGCCAGCACGGCUGUGUUAGUAUGAGAGAAUAGCCAGAAGCAUGUAAGUAACAUUCAUGCUGAAAAUAUGAUUGAUCACUUCUUUUUUUAAUCUUUUUUUUUUUUCCUGCAGCACUGCUCCAAAUCCAGCUUCAGUGAGAAGUGACUUGAACUGCGGCUGAGCUCAGUCUUCAGAGGCAGCUGCCGUGCUUCCCUUAAACCACAGGUUCACGUAGGAAGCCCAUGGCAGACUUGCAGGCUUGCAGGCAGCGUGUUGCCCAGUUGUUCCCUUUGCAUUAAAACAACAGAAAUACACGUUGAUCAUUUUGGGGGAUUCAUCCAAAAGGCAUGCCCAUCUACAUGACUGGCCACUCAGCUCCUUUGGAUCACAAAUGAGCCUUGAUGCACCGAUGCUUCACUGAACUGCAUAUAUCUGUAUAUACAGAUAUUUUGGGACAGAGA
rnacentral:lncRNA from 1 species